CCUACGGGUGGCAGCAGUGAGGAAUAUUGGUCAAUGGUCGGGAGACUGAACCAGCCAAGCCGCGUGAGGGAUGAAGGUACGGAGUAUCGUAAACCUCUUUUGUCAGGGAACAAAGGCGGGGACGCGUCCCCGGAGGAGUGUACCUGAAGAAAAAGCAUCGGCUAACUCCGUGCCAGCAGCCGCGGUAAUAAGGAGGAUGCGAGCGUUAUCCGGAUUUAUUGGGUUUAAAGGGUGCGCAGGCGGUCUGUUAAGUCAGCGGGCAAAGCCCGGGGCUCACCCCCGGCCCGCCGGUGAAACUGGCAGUCUCGAGUUGGAGAGAAGUAUGCGGAAUGCGCGGUGUAGCGGUGAAAUGCAUAGAUAUCGCGCAGAACUCCGAUUGCGAAGGCAGCAUGCCGGCUCCACACUGACGCUGAGGCACGAAAGCGUGGGUAUCGAACAGGAUUAGAUACCCCUGUAGUC
rnacentral:rRNA from 1 species